UGGAGUAUAGCCAAGUCGGUAAGGCGUCGGUUUUUGGUACCGUGAUCAAAGGUUCGAGUCCUUUUACUCCAA
rnacentral:tRNA from 1 species